ACGACGCUGGCGGCGUGCCUAAUACAUGCAAGUCGAGCGAGACAGAAGGGAGCUUGCUCCCGGAUGUUAGCGGCGGACGGGUGAGUAACACGUGGGUAACCUGCCUGUAAGACUGGGAUAACUCCGGGAAACCGGAGCUAAUACCGGAUAGUUCCUUGAACCGCAUGGUUCAAGGAUGAAAGACGGUUUCGGCUGUCACUUACAGAUGGACCCGCGGCGCAUUAGCUAGUUGGUGGGGUAAUGGCUCACCAAGGCGACGAUGCGUAGCCGACCUGAGAGGGUGAUCGGCCACACUGGGACUGAGACACGGCCCAGACUCCUACGGGAGGCAGCAGUAGGGAAUCUUCCGCAAUGGACGAAAGUCUGACGGAGC
rnacentral:rRNA from 1 species